AUUGAACGCUGGCGGCAUGCUUUACACAUGCAAGUCGGACGAGUGGCGAACGGGUGAGUAACGCAUCGGAACGUACCGCGUCAUGGGGGAUCACUGUUCGAAAGGACAGCUAAUACCGCAUAUUAUUCGAGCGGCCGAUGUCUGAUUAGCUGGUUGGCGGGGUAAAGGCCAACCAGGGCGACGAUCAGUCGCGGGUCUGAGAGGAUGAUCGGCCAAAUUGGAAUUGAGACAGGGCCCAGAUUCCUACGGGAGGCAGAAGUGGGGAAUUUUGGAAAAUGGGCGCAAGCCUGAUCCAGCAAUGCCGCGUGUCUGAAGAAGGCCUUCGGGUUGUAAAGGACUUUUGUCAGGGAAGCGGUACCUGAAGAAUAAGCACCGGCUAACUACGUGCCAGCAGCCGCGGUAAUUC
rnacentral:rRNA from 1 species